rnacentral:rRNA from 1 species
GUGGGGAAUAUUGGACAAUGGGGGGAACCCUGAUCCAGCCAUGCCGCGUGUGUGAAGAAGGCCUUUUGGUUGUAAAGCACUUUAAGCGAGGAGGAGGCUACCGAGAUUAAUACUCUUGGAUAGUGGACGUUACUCGCAGAAUAAGCACCGGCUAACUCUGUUCCAGCAGCCGCGGUAAUACAGAGGGUGCAAGCGUUAAUCGGAUUUACUGGGCGUAAAGCGCGCGUAGGUGGCCAAUUAAGUCAAAUGUGAAAUCCCCGAGCUUAACUUGGGAAUUGCAUUCGAUACUGGUGGGCUAGAGUAUGGGAGAGGAUGGUAGAAUUCCAGGUGUAGCGGUGAAAUGCGUAGAGAUCUGGAGGAAUACCGAUGGCGAAGGCAGCCAUCUGGCCUAAUACUGACACUGAGGUGCGAAAGCAUGGGGAGCAAACAGGAUUAGAAACCCGGGUAGUCC